ACACUUCCAAUAGUAAUUCAUUCGGCUUAUAUUGUGCAUGUCGGGUGACCGACUAUGACGAUAAACACUGUUCGGAAUAAUCGUUGCGGACCCGGGGGCAGUGCCCGGCGCCUCCACCAAUUUCCCCACCCGUUUUUUUCGGGUGUGCAAUGGGGGCGAAACAGGAUCGACGUACGUGGUAAAGGUUCAGCUUUCGUCCGGCAUGGUACCCACCGUUAUCGGGCCAAACAGAGAAAUGCCAACGAUAAUGAGGCAUUUGCAGUAGCAGCUUAACGGCUCUUACUACGGGGUUCGGGGGGCACCUGGCAACAGAAGCCCCCCACU
rnacentral:tmRNA from 1 species